rnacentral:rRNA from 1 species
UUAAGUUAUUAAGGGCGCACGGUGGAUGCCUUGGCACUAGAAGCCGAUGAAGGACGUUACUAACGACGAUAUGCUUUGGGGAGCUGUAAGUAAGCUUUGAUCCAGAGAUUUCCGAAUGGGGAAACCCAGCAUGAGUUAUGUCAUGUUAUCGAUAUGUGAAUACAUAGCAUAUCAGAAGGCACACCCGGAGAACUGAAACAUCUUAGUACCCGGAGGAAGAGAAAGAAAAUUCGAUUCCCUUAGUAGCGGCGAGCGAAACGGGAAGAGCCCAAACCAACAAGCUUGCUUGUUGGGGUUGUAGGACACUCUAUACGGAGUUACAAAGGACGACAUUAGACGAAUCAUCUGGAAAGAUGAAUCAAAGAAGGUAAUAAUCCUGUAGUCGAAAAUGUUGUCUCUCUUGAGUGGAUCCUGAGUACGACGGAGCACGUGAAAUUCCGUCGGAAUCUGGGAGGACCAUCUCCUAAGGCUAAAUACUCUCUAGUGACCGAUAGUGAACCAGUACCGUGAGGGAAAGGUGAAAAGCACCCCGGAAGGGGAGUGAAAUAGAACCUGAAACCGUGUGCUUACAAGUAGUCAGAGCCCGUUAAUGGGUGAUGGCGUGCCUUUUGUAGAAUGAACCGGCGAGUUACGAUUUGAUGCAAGGUUAAGCAGUAAAUGUGGAGCCGUAGCGAAAGCGAGUCUGAAUAGGGCGUUUAGUAUUUGGUCGUAGACCCGAAACCAGGUGAUCUACCCUUGGUCAGGUUGAAGUUCAGGUAACACUGAAUGGAGGACCGAACCGACUUACGUUGAAAAGUGAGCGGAUGAACUGAGGGUAGCGGAGAAAUUCCAAUCGAACCUGGAGAUAGCUGGUUCUCUCCGAAAUAGCUUUAGGGCUAGCCUCAAGUGAUGAUUAUUGGAGGUAGAGCACUGUUUGGACGAGGGGCCCCUCUCGGGUUACCGAAUUCAGACAAACUCCGAAUGCCAAUUAAUUUAACUUGGGAGUCAGAACAUGGGUGAUAAGGUCCGUGUUCGAAAGGGAAACAGCCCAGACCACCAGCUAAGGUCCCAAAAUAUAUGUUAAGUGGAAAAGGAUGUGGCGUUGCCCAGACAACUAGGAUGUUGGCUUAGAAGCAGCCAUCAUUUAAAGAGUGCGUAAUAGCUCACUAGUCGAGUGACACUGCGCCGAAAAUGUACCGGGGCUAAACAUAUUACCGAAGCUGUGGAUUGUCCUUUGGACAAUGGUAGGAGAGCGUUCUAAGGGCGUUGAAGCAUGAUCGUAAGGACAUGUGGAGCGCUUAGAAGUGAGAAUGCCGGUGUGAGUAGCGAAAGACGGGUGAGAAUCCCGUCCACCGAUUGACUAAGGUUUCCAGAGGAAGGCUCGUCCGCUCUGGGUUAGUCGGGUCCUAAGCUGAGGCCGACAGGCGUAGGCGAUGGAUAACAGGUUGAUAUUCCUGUACCACCUAUAAUCGUUUUAAUCGAUGGGGGGGACGCAGUAGGAUAGGCGAAGCGUGCGAUUGGAUUGCACGUCUAAGCAGUAAGGCUGAGUAUUAGGCAAAUCCGGUACUCAUUAAGGCUGAGCUGUGAUGGGGAGAAGACAUUGUGUCUUCGAGUCGUUGAUUUCACACUGCCGAGAAAAGCCUCUAGAUAGAAAAUAGGUGCCCGUACCGCAAACCGACACAGGUAGUCAAGAUGAGAAUUCUAAGGUGAGCGAGCGAACUCUCGUUAAGGAACUCGGCAAAAUGACCCCGUAACUUCGGGAGAAGGGGUGCUCUUUAGGGUUAACGCCCAGAAGAGCCGCAGUGAAUAGGCCCAAGCGACUGUUUAUCAAAAACACAGGUCUCUGCUAAACCGUAAGGUGAUGUAUAGGGGCUGACGCCUGCCCGGUGCUGGAAGGUUAAGAGGAGUGGUUAGCUUCUGCGAAGCUACGAAUCGAAGCCCCAGUAAACGGCGGCCGUAACUAUAACGGUCCUAAGGUAGCGAAAUUCCUUGUCGGGUAAGUUCCGACCCGCACGAAAGGCGUAACGAUUUGGGCACUGUCUCAACGAGAGACUCGG